rnacentral:tRNA from 1 species
CGCGGGGUAGAGCAGAGGCAGCUCGUCGGGCUCAUAACCCGGAGGUCGCAGGUUCGAAUCCUGUCCCCGCUA